rnacentral:rRNA from 1 species
UCCGUAGGCGGGUAAUUAAGUCAGAGGUGAAAUCCCACAGCUCAACUGUGGAACUGCCUUAGAUACUGGUUAUCUUGAGUUUUAGUGAAGUAGAUAGAAUGUGUAGUGUAGCGGUGAAAUGCAUAGAUAUUACACAGAAUACCGAUUGCGAAGGCAGUCUACUACGUAUAUACUGACGCUAAUGGACGAAAGCGUGGGGAGCGAACAGGAUUAGAUACCCUGGUAGUCC